UCGAUGUUUCGAGGUUUCUCGCAUCACUAAAAAAAAUUGUCAUCACUUACAAAAAAUUUGCGAGAAAGUAAAAAGCUAGGAUAUUGGUGUUGGCAGUGCUGUAGACAUGGACAAAUUUCUCAAGGAUUUUAAUGACAAAGAUUGCAAUACUGACUCUAACGAUGACAAUGAUGAGACACCCAAUGAACGAACAAAAUAUGGGAAGUCUGAAGUUUGGGACUACUUUAUAAAAUUUUUGGAAAAUGAGCUUUCUGCAAUUAACGUACCAUGCCCAACUUCCACCAGCCUGCCAGUCUGGUCUAGUCUGGUCUUCUGCUACACAAGAGCCACUUUUCUAUUUUCUUGAUUUAGGGAAUUCUACAAAUAUUCACAGUAAUGGGAAGGAUUAAAUUCUGGGAAUGCGUCAAUAUUUCAACACUGAAAGCUCUGACUCUGAUAUUAAAAUAAUUAUAACGUUUAAUGACAAUACAUUUACUUUGCAGACCUCAAAUGAUCACAAGCUGUGUUAAAAAAUUUCUUUGUGUUUCUGCAACGUCCGCUGAAAGUGAACAUAUGUUCAGCAAAGCUGGACUUAUAGUAAGUGAGAAACGGUGUUCUCUCAAACCCAAGCAAGUUGAUAUACAUACUUGUAUUUGUAAAUAAAAACGAAUGGAUAUCAAAAGUAAUCUAUAACAAUAAUUAGUUACCAUAGCUUAUGUAAAUUAAACGAAAUAUAUGAAACACGUUA